rnacentral:lncRNA from 1 species
CAAGUAUAAUUACGUCUAAUUAGGGGUUGAAUCAUAUCUUCAGUAAAGGUACAUAUUCAAUAAUGAGAUCUGUGGAUGGGAACAUGUCUCCAGUUGAGGUGUUGAUGAAGGAAAUUCAGAAAUGCUCAGACAAAUGGAGCAAGCGGACACAUAAAUCCACGUCGCCCUGGACGUCAGAGGGGGCAUUUGAUCUGAGGCAGUGUGCAGAGAUGCAGGGUUUUAUAAAAACCUAUAAGAUAAAAGACAAAUCUGUAAAGCGAGGCCUUAAACGGGAAAGAGAAAAUGCAGUGUUGCAAUUGUUUAUUAACUGUGCAAAAAUGAUGGGCAAAAAGACGACUCAGUGUGGUGAUAAUCAAUUUAAUCAGAUCUCUAUAACUAAGUCUCUUUCAGAUGCGUCCCAGAUGGAUGCAGAAGAAACAAAACCUUUACGGACAAAGAAGCCAGUUCACCCUGUAGCUGAUCUAGAAGGGACAGACAGGGCAGUGAAAAGGGAUGAGUUGUUAGAACUGCCCGACAUUUAUUUAAAAACAGAGAAAAUCUCAAUUGGAAAUUCCUGCAGUGAAAGUGAUCUGCGUGACAGAGCAGUUAGAUCACUGUGGGCUGAGUCAGAUGAGGAAUCAGUGUGUGUGGGUGACGAACGGGUAAAUGAGGUUUCUGAUGGACUUCCUCUGCUGGUCAAAGGGGCAAAGCGUCAAAAUCUGCCCUGGCCUUCAAGACCAGAUCAGAAUGAUCUGACUGACACUGUGGAACUUUGGAACUUGUCACUAGACCAAAUAACUGAGCAUGUGAUUCAUGCUGUUGAGCUGCGUCAGAAGCAGGCAAAGGAGGCAACAUCACCUGAGGUGUGGCCAUGCCUGGUGGUGUAGGUGGGGUCUGAGGCACGCUGGCUGGUUGAGCAGACACCAUCCUCCUCUCUCUUUUCUCCCCCUCUUUUCGCUGCUGCUGGCGUGUUGCUUCUUUCACUGCCUCCUUUGCCUGCUUUUGACGCAGCUCAACAGCAUGAAUCACAUGGUCAGUUAUUUGUUCUAGUGACAAGUUGCAAAGUCCCACAGUGUCAGUCAGAUCAUUCUGAUCCGGUCUUGAAGGCCAGGGCAGAUUUUGACGCUUUGCCUCUUUGACCAGCAGAGGAAGUCCAUCAGAAACCUCAUUUACCCGCUCGUCACCCACACACACUGAUUCCUCAUCUGACUCAGCCCACAGUGAUCUAACUGCUCUGUCACGCAGAUCACUUUCACUGCAGGAAUUUCCAAUUGAGAUUUUCUCUGUGUUUAAAUAAAUGUCGGGCAGUUCUAACA